rnacentral:lncRNA from 1 species
CCAAAUAAUAAGUACUAGUUAAGGGCUUCGCACGAUACGGCGGGAAGACAAUAUAAUAGUAAAUUAUUAUAACUAUUAAUGUUUUUUUUUUCUAUUAUGUAUUAAUUUUUUUAAAUAUUAUUUAUCGCAGAUCUUCCGUGGGAUGCGAAGAGCAGUUCGAACCUGCAAGAGUUCCCGACUAAUAAGUUCGAUGCAGCGGAAAAAUAAUACAAUAGUAAAUUAUUAUAACUAUUAAUAUCACUUUAAAUUAAAAUUUUAAUUUUGAAUGCAAAUUCAAAU